UACGUAGGGUGCGAGCGUUAAUCGGAAUUACUGGGCGUAAAGCGUGCGCAGGCGGUUCGUUAAGUUCGUCGUGAAAGCCCCGGGCUCAACCUGGGAAUGGCGAUGGAAACUGGCGGGCUGGAGUGCGGCAGAGGGGGGUGGAAUUCCGCGUGUAGCAGUGAAAUGCGUAGAUAUGCGGAGGAACACCGAUGGCGAAGGCAAUCCCCUGGGCCUGUACUGACGCUCAUGCACGAAAGCGUGGGGAGCAAACAGG
rnacentral:rRNA from 1 species